UACAGAGGGUGCGAGCGUUAAUCGGAAUUACUGGGCGUAAAGCGCACGUAGGCGGCUUGGUAUGUCGGGUGUGAAAGCCCCGGGCUCAACCUGGGAAUUGCAUUUGAGACUGAAUAGCUAGGGUGCGGAAGAGGGAAGCGGAAUUUCCGGUGUAGCGGUGAAAUGCGUAGAUAUCGGAAGGAACACCAGUGGCGAAAGCGGACUUCCUGGUCCAGCACCGACGUU
rnacentral:rRNA from 1 species